rnacentral:tRNA from 1 species
UCCCUGGUGGCUUAGUGGUAUAGAAUCUGUCUGCCAAGCAGGAAACUCAAGUUUGAUCCCUGAUUUGGGAA